rnacentral:misc_RNA from 1 species
GUGAAUUUUAGGGCGCGCUUUCGAGCGGCCUGACCUCCACUUCCAACUCUGUGCACUUUUGUAGGAUGGGGCGCAAGCCCGGUCUUACUUUCACUUUAAACAUGAGUCAAAGAAUGUAACAAAAACCAUAACAAAAAA